UUUUCAUUCUCCUCUUCCCUCCUAUUUUCUCCUCCUUUUUGUUCCUUUGUUCUUUUUGGCUCUUUGGCUCGCUCCUUCUCCCCUCGUGAGUGAAAAGAUAACAUUGAUUUGUUUCAGUCCCGUUUAUUAUUUUCCUGGACGAGCCGCUAAGACAAGGCCCAAUAAGAUAUGGAGCUACGUCCUAUUGACUUAUUAACUUCUCCCUGGGUGUACACACAUCUCUGAGCAUCUCUUUGUGUGUGUGUGUUAGUGUGUUUGGAUUGUGUUCCUGACCCAUGGACAAACAAAACGUUCUACGAGAAGGGGACGGAUUUCACUAAAAAGGAUCUGGAGCAGAUGUUUCGUUGGCCUCAGUCUCACUUCCUUUCACCGGCUCUCGACUUCUUCUUUCCCUUCCUCUUUUUCUUUGAUGGAUGCUGAGUGGUUCGUGCUGUUUUUGUGGAAGCCCGUUGGUCUGGCCAAUUGCACGGACGCGGGAAUGUAAUCUAGGCUGUUGACACUGUGGGGACGGAUCAGGAGACAGCUUGUGCUGUUGGCUGGGGCUUUACCUUUGUUUGUCUCUGCCUGCCAUAUGUGCUGUUUCUCUCUCUCUCUGUUCACUUCUCUAUUAGAUAUCAACAGACAAUCAUAAAAACAACCAUCAGGGAGAGUAGCAUUUAGGCCCGUAAGGUUCAUCAGUGCCACCUCUGUGGUCACAUCUACAGAAGUUUCAGGUUCUGGGGAUUUUUCUUUUUUUUUUGACAUGUGUCAUCUCCUUUUAAGGCAGUGAAAGUACAGACUGGUGGAUUAGUCCUGGAUGGAAAAGGAAAAUCCUGGUCAUCAUCUUCCUCCUCCUGCUUUUCCAGAAAGAUCAUUCGCCAUGUGUCUACAAGAUUGUGCGUUGAGAGAGUCGGUGUCUCUGUUCUUCAUCAGUGGACUCCUGACAGACGUGCUCUCCAGCCCCAAUAAUCAACCCAAAAAAUGAGGGGAGAUAUGUUUUCUCUCUGCUGCUCAGUGGGAACAGAAAAGCGCAGUGGGAAGGGAAGAGGGGGAGAGUCGGCUGAAGAUUGAAAUACUCUGAGACAUGCUCGGCCCCCAUCUACACGGGCCUUCCCGGGCCAAGUUAGCCGUUAAAUCCCCCCUUUCUUCUUACUGAUGACCCGUGAGUGAUGUGGUGGAGGGGUCACAGGGUCAGUGGAGAGUGUGGGGAGGAAGGGGAGCGGAGGGAUGAAGAUGAUAAUGAAGGUAGUGGGGGGGGGGUCUCUCCCAGGCGAGGAGGCGCACUUGUCUUUCCACUCAUGUAAUCCCUCCAAUUUGGAUUAUUAAAUCUAAAUCUGUGUUCCGGAUUCAUCAGAGCCCACAUUGCUCACAAAUUACUCCCAGGUGUGUCGAGGACAUUGCUGCGCAUGGAGAUGAGAACACGAACCAGCAGCACUGCCGCUUAUGGAUGCAAUCACACAUUAUCUGAAGUCUGAAGUAGUUAGUUAUGAAUAAUGAGUAUACAAGGUUGCUGUCGGGUAAAACUGGCAUCAGUCCAAGUUAUUUUUUUUAUUCCCUGAUGGAUUGAGAAACUUCUGUGUUGGGUUGAGUUUGUAAAACUAACAGAACAACGAAACCAACAGUUUAAUAAACUCAUACAUUUGUCAUCCAGUUGUCAGGCAGCUGUCAGGCUAAUGCCAAGUCUGUUUUUUUGAGCACCUGAAAGGGUGAUAGUAUGAGAGGGCAUACUGAUACUGCUGAUGUUACUACUGUGGUAGUUCUCACUGGGCACCACAUGUUCUAAUGUGGUGUGGUGUUUUGGUGAAAAGGUGCCUGAGAAAUGAGAAAAGGAUAAAACUAAAGUAAUGAGUGGGAGUAGUAGUGGUUUCAGUACCCUCUCUAAAUGCUGUGGGACUGAAUAUUAUAUAUAUAUAUAUAUAUAUAUAUAUAUAUAGAGAGAGAGAUCAAGGAGUACAGCAGAGAGAAAGAAAAAACAAACAUAGCCAGACAUAACAAAAGGACAAAUACAAAGCCUACAACAAACAUAAUUGGACAAAAAUAUUAGAUCACUGGCUUUUGAUAAAACUGAAUUUGAAACUAUUACUAAACUUUAAACCCGCACUAACGGAUGUUUUGGCCACUCUGGGGCAGCGCAACAAGCUAUAAACACAACAUUGACAUUUUAUUAGCUUUAAAAGUUGUUAUGGCUAACGUGUUAGCAAACAGUUGUCUAUUUACACAUCCAGA